AUUGAACGCUGGCGGCAGGCCUAACACAUGCAAGUCGAACGAGUGGCGGACGGGUGAGUAAUGUCUGGGAAACUGCCUGAUGGAGGGGGAUAACUACUGGAAACGGUAGCUAAUACCGCAUACCAUCAGAUGUGCCCAGAUGGGAUUAGCUAGUUGGUGGGGUAACGGCUCACCAAGGCGACGAUCCCUAGCUGGUCUGAGAGGAUGACCAGCCACACCGGAACUGAGACACGGUCCAGAAUCCGACGGGGGGCAACAGUGGGGAAUAUUGGACCAAGGGCGCAAGGCUUGUGGAGCCAUGGCGGGGGGAUGAAGGAGGCCGUCGGGUUGGAAAAUAAUUUCCGCGGGGAGGCGUUACCCGCAGAAGAAGCACCGGCUAACUCCGUGCCAGCAGCCGCGGUAAUAC
rnacentral:rRNA from 1 species